AUUACCGAGUUAUACAACUCCCAAACCCACUGUGAACCUUACCUCAGUUGCCUCGGCGGGAACGCCCCGGCCGCCUGCCCCCGCGCCGGCGCCGGACCCAGGCGCCCGCCGCAGGGACCCCAAACUCUCUUGCAUUACGCCCAGCGGGCGGAAUUUCUUCUCUGAGUUGCACAAGCAAAAACAAAUGAAUCAAAACUUUCAACAACGGAUCUCUUGGUUCUGGCAUCGAUGAAGAACGCAGCGAAAUGCGAUAAGUAAUGUGAAUUGCAGAAUUCAGUGAAUCAUCGAAUCUUUGAACGCACAUUGCGCCCGCCAGCAUUCUGGCGGGCAUGCCUGUUCGAGCGUCAUUUCAACCCUCGAGCCCCCCCGGGGGCCUCGGUGUUGGGGGACGGCACACCAGCCGCCCCCGAAAUGCAGUGGCGACCCCGCCGCAGCCUCCCCUGCGUAGUAGCACACACCUCGCACCGGAGCGCGGAGGCGGUCACGCCGUAAAACGCCCAACUUUCUUAGAGUUGAC
rnacentral:rRNA from 1 species